AAUAGAUACCCCGGUAGUCCACCCCGUAAACGUUGGGAACUAGUUGUGGGGUCCUUUCCACGGAUUCCGUGACGCAGCUAACGCAUUAAGUUCCCCGCCUGGGGAGUACGGCCGCAAGGCUAAAACUCAAAGGAAUUGACGGGGACCCGCACAAGCGGCGGAGCAUGCGGAUUAAUUCGAUGCAACGCGAAGAACCUUACCAAGGCUUGACAUACACCAGAACACCCUAGAAAUAGGGGACUCUUUGGACACUGGUGAACAGGUGGUGCAUGGUUGUCGUCAGCUCGUGUCGUGAGAUGUUGGGUUAAGUCCCGCAACGAGCGCAACCCUCGUUCUAUGUUGCCAGCACGUAAUGGUGGGAACUCAUGGGAUACUGCCGGGGUCAACUCGGAGGAAGGUGGGGAUGACGUCAAAUCAUCAUGCCCUUAUGUCUUGGGCUUCACGCAUGCUACAAUGGCCGGUACAAAGGGCUGCAAUACCGUGAGGUGGAGCGAAUCCCAAAAGCCGGUCCCAGUUCGGAUUGAGGUCUGCAACUCGACCUCA
rnacentral:rRNA from 1 species